GAUGAACGCUGGCGGCGUGCCUAAUACAUGCAAGUCGAACGAGUUUUGGUCGAUGAACGGUGCUUGCACUGAGAUUCGACUUAAAACGAGUGGCGGACGGGUGAGUAACACGUGGGUAACCUGCCCUUAAGUGGGGGAUAACAUUUGGAAACAGAUGCUAAUACCGCAUAAAUCCAAGAACCGCAUGGUUCUUGGCUGAAAGAUGGCGCAAGCUAUCGGCUUUUGGAUGGACCCGCGGCGUAUUAGCUAGUUGGUGAGGUAACGGCUCACCAAGGCGAUGAUACGUAGCCAACUGAGAGGUUGAUCGGCCACAUUGGGACUGAGACACGGCCCAAACUCCUACGGGAGGCAGCAGUAGGGAAUCUUCCACAAUGGACGCAAGUCUGAUGGAGCAACGCCGCGUGAGUGAAGAAGGCUUUCGGGUCGUAAAACUCUGUUGUUGGAGAAGAAUGGUCGGCAGAGUAACUGUUGUCGGCGUGACGGUAUCCAACCAGAAAGCCACGGCUAACUACGUGCCAGCAGCCGCGGUAAUACGUAGGUGGCAAGCGUUAUCCGGAUUUAUUGGGCGUAAAGCGAGCGCAGGCGGUUUUUUAAGUCUGAUGUGAAAGCCCUCGGCUUAACCGAGGAAGCGCAUCGGAAACUGGGAAACUUGAGUGCAGAAGAGGACAGUGGAACUCCAUGUGUAGCGGUGAAAUGCGUAGAUAUAUGGAAGAACACCAGUGGCGAAGGCGGCUGUCUGGUCUGUAACUGACGCUGAGGCUCGAAAGCAUGGGUAGCGAACAGGAUUAGAUACCCUGGUAGUCCAUGCCGUAAACGAUGAAUGCUAGGUGUUGGAGGGUUUCCGCCCUUCAGUGCCGCAGCUAACGCAUUAAGCAUUCCGCCUGGGGAGUACGACCGCAAGGUUGAAACUCAAAGGAAUUGACGGGGGCCCGCACAAGCGGUGGAGCAUGUGGUUUAAUUCGAAGCAACGCGAAGAACCUUACCAGGUCUUGACAUCUUUUGAUCACCUGAGAGAUCAGGUUUCCCCUUCGGGGGCAAAAUGACAGGUGGUGCAUGGUUGUCGUCAGCUCGUGUCGUGAGAUGUUGGGUUAAGUCCCGCAACGAGCGCAACCCUUAUGACUAGUUGCCAGCAUUGAGUUGGGCACUCUAGUAAGACUGCCGGUGACAAACCGGAGGAAGGUGGGGAUGACGUCAAAUCAUCAUGCCCCUUAUGACCUGGGCUACACACGUGCUACAAUGGAUGGUACAACGAGUUGCGAGACCGCGAGGUCAAGCUAAUCUCUUAAAGCCAUUCUCAGUUCGGACUGUAGGCUGCAACUCGCCUACACGAAGUCGGAAUCGCUAGUAAUCGCGGAUCAGCACGCCGCGGUGAAUACGUUCCCGGGCCUUGUACACACCGCCCGUCACACCAUGAGAGUUUGUAACACCCGAAGCCGGUGGCGUAACCCUUUUAGGGAGCGAGCCGUCUAAGGUGGGACAAAUGAUUAGGGUGAAGUCGUAACAAGGUAGCCGUAGGAGAACC
rnacentral:rRNA from 2 species